AAAAUGAAUACAUUUUAUAAAACAUUGCUAAGUCCAAAAAGUCAGGGAAUAAUAAAAUCGUACAACCAAGCUUCCAAGUAAACGCGGGGUCACCAAUGUAGAGAUAUUAUUGGUGAAUGUGCUACAUCAUGACGUAAAAUGGGAAAUGGACAUUAUUGAAUGAAAUGUAAUGACAUAAUAAAAGCUUACGACAAUAGUAGAAAUGAAGCCGAAAGUCCAAUGAAGAUGAAGAGAGUUGAGAACGAAGGAAGGGGCUCACGCGAUGAAAUGUGCGGAGGCUUGAAGAGGCGGAAACGCGACUUCGUUGACGUGGUUGAAGAACCGUGAAGAACGCGAUGUCGUCGCCGAAGCUCGUGAUGAUGAUGAAUGUAGAUGGAGCUCUCGGGCGAGAAUAGAAGAGAAGAGAAGAGAUGUGUGGCGCUCGAUGACGAAAGCAGUGAGUCGCUUGAUGUCGGAGGCCAAAGUGGAAAAUGCAGACAUCAAAGCCGGUAGUGGUGCUGAGACGGUGAGUCGCUCGAUUGAUGAGCCGAACUUUGAUGGUGAAUGUUUAGAUGAGCUGCGGUGAGUCGAGCUCAUGUGAGUGAAAGACUACCGGUGAAGAAACUGGCAGCUCCCAGCGGAUAACCAAGCACCAUAUAUGUCGGAACUAGAUUUAACUGUUCCACUGGAAGACUGCAGCCCGAUGAACACGGCAGUGAAAGUGAAGAUGUGCCGAUAGAAGUGAUAGGCACAGUAGAAUCAAGCCCGGAGAAGAAAUCAUGCAGAAACGUGUUGACUCAACUGAGAUGUAAGCAGGAGUUGUUGACUCGACCGAGGUGUAAGCGGGAGUGAAGAAAACCUCGUGGUGAUGAAAAUACGCGGGUGAACGAUGCGCGGAACCA